AAUAUGUAAUCAUGUUUGCGAACGGGGGACAAGUGUCUGCGUCGUUGAUAUCUGUCGCUGAGACUCGCUUUGUCCGCACCUGAGGGCGAUCACAAACUUUGCCUAAUCGUGAUUGCGCGCGUUCUGGAUCCUGCGUCGGUGCGUCGACAAUUUGCCUUAUGCUCCGGCUCAGUUCGAUAACGCUGAGGCCGUUAUCGAAGGCGGCAAUAUCUCUGUUCUUCUUGUGGUGAAUGGCUCUGUGGAAAGCGUCGCCUUGUAAACUCGGCACAGAGGUCUUAGCGAUUGAAUAACGGUUCGGGUUCCGGCAUAUCGGUUCGAGUUCAGCUCCGCAACAGCGCAAAAUAUCGGUUGAAACCGGUUCAGUGAGCAGUGAAACCAAGAUGGCGUCCAAACUGACUGCUGCAGCCACAGCGACCGAAGCGCCAUCGGAUUCGCGCUCCCACCAAGGCUCAAAUCCGUCUUUCAUGGCGGGAACCCAAGAAGAAGGGAUUUCCCCCUCCCCCUAGGGGGCAUCCCCAGGAUUUUUUUGCACCACCUCCGUGAAAUUUCCAAGCAUGCCUACAGCUCGGGUACUAAUGCACACACACACACACACACACACACAAACACAAAAGAAGUCCAUGAACACAAACUCCCUCCCCAUUGGAAGCUCAGUAGCCCUCAGAGCGGUUACGUCCCAUUUCGCCUAAUGGGAUUUUUAGGCUUACGAGGCCGAGAUGCUGCCGUUUAGCGAAAUGGGACUGCCAACAAAAGUGAGCAAUACUAUCACUGAUUGACGUCAGCAGGGAAUGGCUCCGCCCCUGUGUGCGGUCUGUACACAGUUGUAACCAAGCGAAAAAAGCAGGCUCUUCAGAAGGACCGAGUGACGCAUCAGUCCCAGACCCGCGGCGCCUGUGACUCGACAGUCUUCUUUGAACAGCGCAUGAGGACUUACUGUCUUUUUCCACUAAGCCUUCUGAAACAAUUUCCGACUCAGCACUUGAAAUGAAAAUGUGGAAAUAUCACUUGUCUUCCCAGUGGCGCCAAGCUGUGUUUGCCCUUUCGCACAACUCGGCGAAGGUUUUUCUGAGACCACGGGAGAAUAAAGUUGCCUUAAACUGGA